GGGCGGUUAGCUCAGUGGUAGAGCAUUCGCUUCACACGCGAGAGGUCGUAGGUUCAAGUCCUAUACCGCCCA
rfam:Deinococcus puniceus strain DY1, complete genome.